UCAAUAAGCGGAGGAAAAGAAACCAACAGGGAUUGCCCUAGUAACGGCGAGUGAAGCGGCAACAGCUCAAAUUUGAAAUCUGGCCCUAGGCCCGAGUUGUAAUUUGCAGAGGAUGCUUUUGGCAAAGCGCUUACCGAGUCCCCUGGAACGGGGCGCCACAGAGGGUGAGAGCCCCGUAUGGUAUGACGCCGAGCCUCUGUAAAGCUCCUUCGACGAGUCGAGUAGUUUGGGAAUGCUGCUCUAAAUGGGAGGUAAAUUUCUUCUAAAGCUAAAUACCGGCCAGAGACCGAUAGCGCACAAGUAGAGUGAUCGAAAGAUGAAAAGCACUUUGAAAAGAGGGUUAAAUAGCACGUGAAAUUGUUGAAAGGGAAGCGCUCGUGACCAGACUUGCGCCGGGCGGAUCAUCCAGCGUUCUCGCUGGUGCACUCCGCCCGGCUCAGGCCAGCAUCGGUUUUCGCCGGGGGACAAAAUCUUCGGGAACGUGGCUCCCUUCGGGGAGUGUUAUAGCCCGUUGAUUAAUACCCCGGCGGGGACCGAGGACCGCGCUUCGGCAAGGAUGCUGGCGUAAUGGUCAUCAGCGACCCGUCUUGAAACACGGACCGAGGAGUCAAGCAUUAGUGCGAGUGUUUGGGUGUAAAACCCGCACGCGUAAUGAAAGUGAACGUAGGUGAGAGCUUCGGCGCAUCAUCGACCGAUCCUGAUGUUUUCGGAUGGAUUUGAGUAGGAGCAUUAACGCUUGGACCCGAAAGAUGGUGAACUAUACUUGAAUAGGGUGAAGCCAGAGGAAACUCUGGUGGAGGCUCGCAGCGGUUCUGACGUGCAAAUCGAUCGUCAAAUUUGAGUAUAGGGGCGAAAGACUAAUCGAACCAUCUAGUAGCUGGUACCGCCAGUUUUCUCCCUCCGGGAAA
rnacentral:rRNA from 1 species